AAGAAUAAUCAUACCCUAAAUGCACCAGAUCCCAGCUGAUCUUUGAAGCUAAAUAAGGUACUUGGUUAGUACUUAGAUGGGAGGCCACCAAGGGAUACCAGGUGCUGUCAGCU
rnacentral:rRNA from 1 species